rnacentral:lncRNA from 1 species
UUCGAGUGAUCCACCCACCUUGGCCUCCAAAGUGCUGGGAUUACAGAUGUGAGCCAUCGUGCCCGCCUGUGCCUUCCUUUUAAAGGCUUCCUGGCCCCUGUGAUGUAAGCGGACCUGGUGUGCUCACUUGGGCUGGCCCCCGUGACGUGAGUGGACCCCGUGAUGUGAGUGGACCCUGUGAUGUGAGUGGCCCCCGUGAUGUGAGUGGCCCCCGUGACAUUAGUGGACCCCGUGGCGUGAGUGGCCCCCAUGACGUGAGUGGCCCCUGUGACAUUAGUGGACCCCGUGGCAUGAGUGGCUGCCAUGACGUGAGUGGCCCCCGUGAUGUGAGUGGCCCCCGUGACGUGAGUGGCCCCCGUGACGUGAGUGGCCCCCGUGAUGUGAGUGGACCCCGUGGCGUGAGUGGC